CCUACGGGAGGCAGCAGUGGGGAAUUUUGGACAAUGGGCGCAAGCCUGAUCCAGCAAUGCCGCGUGAGUGAAGAAGGCCUUCGGGUUGUAAAGCUCUUUUGUCAGGGAAGAAACGGUGGAGGUUAAUACCUUCUGCUAAUGACGGUACCUGAAGAAUAAGCACCGGCUAACUACGUGCCAGCAGCCGCGGUAAUACGUAGGGUGCAAGCGUUAAUCGGAAUUACUGGGCGUAAAGCGUGCGCAGGCGGUUGUGCAAGACAGAUGUGAAAUCCCCGGGCUCAACCUGGGAAUUGCAUUUGUGACUGUACGGCUAGAGUGUGUCAGAGGGGGGUAGAAUUCCACGUGUAGCAGUGAAAUGCGUAGAGAUGUGGAGGAAUACCGAUGGCGAAGGCAGCCCCCUGGGAUAACACUGACGCUCAUGCACGAAAGCGUGGGGAGCAAACAGGAUUAGAUACCCUGGUAGUCCACGCCCUAAACGAUGUCUACUAGUUGUCGGGUCUUAAUUGACUUGGUAACGCAGCUAACGCGUGAAGUAGACCGCCUGGGGAGUACGGUCGCAAGAUUAAAACUCAAAGGAAUUGACGG
rnacentral:rRNA from 1 species